UACGUAGGGGGCUAGCGUUGUCCGGAAUCAUUGGGCGUAAAGAGCGCGCAGGCGGUCGUUCAAGUCGCGUGUGAAAGCCCCCGGCUUAACUGGGGAGGGUCAUUCGAUACUGUUCGACUUGAAGGCAGGAGAGGGCAGCAGAAUUCCCGGUGUAGUGGUGAAAUGCGUAGAUAUCGGGAGGAAUACCAGUGGCGAAGGCGGCUGCCUGGCCUGUUCUUGACGCUGAGGCGCGAAAGCUGGGGGAGCAAACGGG
rnacentral:rRNA from 1 species